rnacentral:rRNA from 1 species
CUGCUGACGAGCGGCGGACGGGUGAGUAAUGUCUGGGGAUCUGCCUGAUGGAGGGGGAUAACUACUGGAAACGGUAGCUAAUACCGCAUAACGUCGCAAGACCAAAGAGGGGGACCUUCGGGCCUCUUGCCAUCGGAUGAACCCAGAUGGGAUUAGCUAGUAGGUGGGGUAAUGGCUCACCUAGGCGACGAUCCCUAGCUGGUCUGAGAGGAUGACCAGCCACACUGGAACUGAGACACGGUCCAGACUCCUACGGGAGGCAGCAGUGGGGAAUAUUGCACAAUGGGCGCAAGCCUGAUGCAGCCAUGCCGCGUGUGUGAAGAAGGCCUUCGGGUUGUAAAGCACUUUCAGCGAGGAGGAAGGCAUUGAGGUUAAUAACCUUGGUGAUUGACGUUACUCGCAGAAGAAGCACCGGCUAACUCCGUGCCAGCAGCCGCGGUAAUACGGAGGGUGCAAGCGUUAAUCGGAAUUACUGGGCGUAAAGCGCACGCAGGC